rnacentral:rRNA from 1 species
CAGCAGCCGCGGGAAUACGUAGGGUGCGAGCGUUAAUCGGAAUUACUGGGCGUAAAGGGCGCGUAGGCGGCGGCCAAAGUCAGGCGUGAAAUCCCCGGGCUUAACCUGGGAACUGCAUUUGUGACUGGCGAGCUAGAGUAUGGCAGAGGGGGGUAGAAUUCCACGUGUAGCAGUGAAAUGCGUAGAGAUGUGGAGGAAUACCGAUGGCGAAGGCAGCCCCCUGGGCCAAUACUGACGCUCAUGCACGAAAGCGUGGGGAGCAAACAGGAUUAGAUACCCGUGUAGUCCCUGUCUCUUAUAA